rnacentral:rRNA from 1 species
AGUAGUUUGAUCCUGGCUACGAGGACGACGCUGGCGCGUGCCUAACACAUGCAAGUCGAGCGGAGACAUGCGACGGAGAUGAAGUUUUCGGAUGGAAUUGAAGAUGCAUGUUUUAGCGGCGGACGGGUGAGUAACGCGUGAGCAACCUGUCCUUCACAGGGGGAUAACACAGCGAAGGUUGUACUAAUACCGCAUAAGACCACAGAGUCACAUGGCUUAGGGGUCAAAGGAGCAAUCCGGUGAAGGGUGGGCUCGCGUCCGAUUAGAUAGUUGGUGAGGUAACGGCCCACCAAGUCGACGAUCGGUAGCCGACCUGAGAGGGUGAUCGGCCACAUUGGGACUGAGACACGGCCCAAACUCC